AGACGCCUCAAUCUUGUUCCUCGCACUUCCGGCUACGUCCCGUCGACCGGUGUCUUGCACCCUACCUGUCGCUGGCCUUACUUGGCUCUGUUCGUUGGAUUGUGCCGGUUGAAUGCUUGCAUCCCGUGUUGUUGGGUGAUAUUCUGAACCGAAGAGCUAGCUGGAGCCAGCGAGUGUUUUGGCCUGGGAGGGAAACAGCUGAUUUCCUGAUACCGUGGGUUUGGGGAUAGCGACCACUGCUGUUUUGCCACGCUUUAUCUUCAC